rnacentral:rRNA from 1 species
GUGCCAGCAGCCGCGGUAAUUCCAGCUCCAAUAGCGUAUAUUAAAGUUGUUGCAGUUAGAACGCUCGUAGUCGGAUUUCGGGGCAGUCCGACCGGUCUGCCGAUGGGUAUGCACUGGCCGGAGUGUCCUUUUUGCCGGAGACCGUGCCUACUCUUAACUGAGCGGGGGCGGGAGACGGCACUUUUACUUUGAAAAAAUCAGAGUGUUUCAAGCAGGCAGCUCGCUCUUGCAUGGAUUAGCAUGGGAUAAUGAAAUAGGACUUUGGUGCUAUUUUGUUGGUUUCGAACACCGAAGUAAUGAUGAGAAGGGACAGUCAGGGGCACUCGUAUUCCGCAGAGAGAGGUGAAAUUCUCAGACCCGCGGAAGACGAACCACUGCGAAAGCAUUUGCCAGGGAUGUUUUCACUGAUCAAGAACGAAAGUUAGGGGAUCGAAGAUGAUCAGAUACCGUCGUAGUCUUAACCAUAAACCAUGCCGACUAGGGAUUGGAGGAUGUUCACUGAUUGACUCCUUCAGCACCUUACGGGAAACUAAAGUCUUUGGGUUCCGGGGGGAGUAUGGUCGCAAGGCUGAAACUUAAAGGAAUUGACGGAAGGGCACCACCAGGUGUGGAGCCUGCGGCUUAAUUUGACUCAACACGGGGAAACUUACCAGGUCCAGACAUUGUGAGGAUUAACAGAUUGAGAGCUCUUUCUUGAUUCGAUGGGUGGUGGUGCAUGGCCGUUCUUAGUUGGUGGAGUGAUUUGUCUGGUUAAUUCCGUUAACGAACGAGACCUUAGCCUGCUAAAUAGUGACGCGAACUCUUUGUUGGCGGUCCACUUCUUAGAGGGACAACUUGUCUUCACACAAGUGGAAGUUUGAGGCAAUAACAGGUCUGUGAUGGCCCAGGCGAAUUCGUUAAACUUGCAGACU